ACCACGCAGGGGAAGAGAAAGCAGAAGCCGUCCAGGACGGAGGAAGGCGACCAUGGCCAAGGAGUGGGGCUACGCCAGUCACAACGGUCCUGACCACUGGCAUGAACUUUUCCCAAAUGCCAAGGGGGAAAACCAGUCGCCCGUUGAGCUGCAUACUAAAGACAUCAGGCAUGACCCUUCUCUGCAGCCAUGGUCUGUGUCUUAUGAUGGUGGCUCUGCCAAGACCAUCCUGAAUAAUGGGAAGACCUGCCGAGUUGUAUUUGAUGAUACUUAUGAUAGGUCAAUGCUGAGAGGGGGUCCUCUCCCUGGACCCUACCGACUUCGCCAGUUUCAUCUUCACUGGGGCUCUUCGGAUGAUCAUGGCUCUGAGCACACCGUGGAUGGAGUCAAGUAUGCAGCGGAGGUAAGAGGAACUGCCGUAAUCCAUUCUCAGUCUCAUACAGUGAAAACUGCAAAAUUAAAAAUAAGAACCACAGCAACAAAGCAUCAUCCACUGCUUUUGUUUCAAGUCUAUAGUUAUGAAAAGAGCUAUACUAGUUUUAGCUGAACUGAAGCUGCUGAACAUUCUAGGCUAGACACGUAAAAGGGUAUAGGUGAGUUGGCAUCAAACAUGAAGAUUUCCAAGGUUAUGUUAAGAAACUGGGG
rnacentral:sRNA from 1 species